GGCCGAUCAGUUUUCCUUGUCCAGUGAGAUUGAAAGGAACAGAACGUCCAAGCUGUGCCCCUGUCAGCCCAGAGAUCAAGGUCAGGGAGAGAUCCAAAGCCUGAAAAUGAAUACAGCAGAAACAGGAAGGGUGGCUAUGAGCAGGUCUGGGACCGAGUCGCCUUGGAGGUCUGGGAGUAACACCGCCUGGGAUUCAAUGUUCUUGAGCUGGACUGACGAUAAGUUCUUCCCUGAGGAGUGAAAGAAAACCUCUUUGACCUUGUUUUGUUUUACACUUUGAAUACCUGGGGAAGGCUACCCUUAUUGACGUGUUUCUCCAAAUGAGGACAGCUGAUCCGUUUGACUUCGCCCAAGACCAAAUACAAAAGCCAUGAGGGUGGACUUGCUGAUGAGGAGACACACGGGUGACGGCUGGGAGCUGUACUGCAGACCACACUGGAUGUACAUCACAGACUCCCCCAUGACUUUCCUCCACAGCACCUGACCGCUGACUGCAGA